CCUACGGGAGGCAGCAGUGGGGAAUAUUGCGCAAUGGUCGAAAGCCUGACGCAGCGACGCCGCGUGAGGGAUGAAGGUCUUCGGAUCGUAAACCUCUGUCAGCAGGGAAGAACGGUCACUGUGCUAAUCAGCAGUGAAUUGACGGUACCUGCAAAGGAAGCACCGGCUAACGCCGUGCCAGCAGCCGCGGUAAUACGGAGGGUGCGAGCGUUAAUCGGAAUUACUGGGCGUAAGGCGCUCGUAGGCGGUAUGUCAAGUCAAGGGUGAAAUCCCCGGGCUCAACGUGGGAACUGCCGUUGAAACUGGCAAACUGGAGUGUGUGAGAGGAUAGUGGAAUUCCAGGUGUAGGAGUGAAAUCCGUAGAUAUCUGGAGGAACAUCAGUGGCGAAGGCGACUAUCUGGAACAUAACUGACGCUGAGGAGCGAAAGCGUGGGUAGCAAACAGGAUUAGAUACCCUAGUAGUC
rnacentral:rRNA from 1 species